rnacentral:rRNA from 1 species
AUUGAACGCUGGCGGUAUGCUUUACACAUGCAAGUCGAACGGCAGCACGGGUGCUUGCACCUGGUGGCGAGUGGCGAACGGGUGAGUAAUACAUCGGAACAUACCUAUUUGAGGGGGAUAGCUCGGCGAAAGCCGGAUUAAUACCGCAUACCAUCGAGAGAUGAAAGCAGGGGCCCAUUUAUGGCCUUGCGCAAAUAGAGUGGCCGAUGACAGAUUAGGUAGUUGGUAGGGUAAGAGCCUACCAAGCCUACGAUCUGUAGCUGGUCUGAGAGGACGACCAGCCACACUGGGACUGAGACACGGCCCAG